GAUGAACGCUGGCGGCGUGCUUAACACAUGCAAGUCGAACGAAGCACUUUAUUUGAUUUCCUUCGGGACUGAUUAUUUUGUGACUGAGUGGCGGACGGGUGAGUAACGCGUGGGUAACCUGCCUUGUCCAGGGGGCUAACAGAUGGAAACGGCUGCUAAUACCGCAUAUGCGCACAGCAUCGCAUGCUGCAGUGUGAAAAACUCCGGUGGUAUAAGAUGGACCCGCGUUGGAUUAGCUAGUUGGUGAGGUAACGGCCCACCAAGGCGACGAUCCAUAGCCGAGCUGAUAGGGUGACCGGCCACAUUGGGACUGAGACACAGCCCAAACUCCUACGGGAUGCAGCAGUGCGGAAUAGUGCACAAUGGGCGAAAGCCUGAUGCAGCGACGCCGCGUGAGCGAAGAAGUAUGUCGGUAUGUAAAGCUCUAGCAGCAGGGAAGAUAAUGACGUUACCUGACUAAGAAGCACCGGCUAAAUACGUG
rnacentral:rRNA from 1 species